rnacentral:rRNA from 1 species
AAUCAACGCUGGCGGCGUGCCUCAGACAUGCAAGUCGAACGCGAAAGUCCCCUUCGGGGGACAAGUAGAGUGGCGCACGGGUGAGUAACACGUAGGCAAUCUACCUUCGGAUGGGGAAGUAACAACCGGAAACGGUUAGCUAAUACCGCAUAAUGCAGCGGCACCUAAUGGUGACAGUUGUUAAAGCGGGGGAUCGAAAGACCUCGCGUCUGAAGAGGAGCCUGCGGCGGAUAGCUAGUUGGUAAGGUAACGGCUUACCAAGGCGACGAUCCGUAGCCGGCCUGAGAGGGCGGUCGGACACACUGGGACUGAGACACGGCCCAGACUCCUACGGGAGGCAGCAGUGGGGAAUUGUUCGCAAUGGGCGCAAGCCUGACGACGCAACGCCGCGUGGAGGAUGAAGGUCUUCGGAUUGUAAACUCCUGUUGCCCGGGACGAAUGGCUCCGACC